rnacentral:other from 1 species
AAAGUCCUAAGAUGUUCGUUAUGACCGAAUGUUUUGAGCCAACAUUUUUUACUAGGGAGUCUGCGUUUCUGCCUGGCGUACAUGCCUCAUACGAGGACUUACAAAUUGCGGAACGGGGCACCCACCUGCUGAGCAGGUUCAAAACUUAGGGAAAGACGGCAUUCUUGGGACUUUC